UUCUUCUCUCUGUUCUUCUUUUCCUCCGUACCCAAAAUCUCAGGCAUAUAUUCUAUCACUCACCCCUGUUCUUAAGUAGAGGAUCUGGGUUCAUCUAUGAAUCUGAAUGCAAUAUCAACGAAAUCAAUAACUUCAAAAUGGAAUCUCAAAAUGGAGCACAAUCACCACUGCCACUUCUCUAGGACAUCAUCGAAACCCACUUGAGAGUGUUGUAAAGGGUGUUGAAUGAACUGGUAUACAAUCAAUUGUGUUUCUUCUGGGUUUGAUGGUAUCAGAGUCUCCAUGGUUCACGCUGAUGCGUUAUGUGGGCUGCUUCUUGGAUGGGUUUUGGGCGAUUUCCAGUGCAAGAUUCGAGCUCCUUCAAUUAUUUAGGGAAGCAGUUCGUAUACAUAUGUACGGGUGAGCUGCAGCUGAUCAAGUGGAGAUGGAGAAUUCGAGGUUCAGUUUGCUAUCCUUAUUUGUAAAUGCCUUUGACACCUCUCGAUAGUUACUCUUAUCACUAAAUUUUGCAGACAGAGUAGUUUUUCUGUAUUUGCCCGCAGAUGUUUCAUUUCCUUGGUAUGGAAUAUGGGCAAGAUAGGUGACGAUGGAGAUUUAGGUCUGAUGUUUUAUUUUCAUAAUUUGGGUUUACGUAUCGUGUUGGAUAGAAUACUUUUCACUGCAUAAGUUAUCGUAUGUGACAAUGAUAGUGUGGUGAAUAAGUAAUGUUUGAAUAAUGAUUGGUAGUUGAAUUUUUUCCUUUCAUAAUCAUUCAUAUGUGUUUGGAUUUGUUGGAUAUGUGUGGAUUAACAUUUUUCCUGGGAUGCUAGUAAGCUACUUUCUUAUACAAAAUAUUCUUCAUAUCAAAAUCAGCCUCCUUACAUAUUGUGGGAAGACUCAAGUAACCAAUCUACUCACUGUUGUCAUCACGGAUCUAUUUCAUAUCAGAACAUGCAUAUUUAAAGUUUUGAGCACCUUACAUUGUUCGACCAAGACAUGAAGGGAUAUUUCUUUAGAAAUUGAAAUUAUUUUUGGAUGACCAGGUAUUAUUACCAAGUUUUUCUGGUCUAAUAUCACGACCAAAUCUUUGAGGUUUUGCUCCUGUAGCCCUGAUUUUCGUGGAAAAGAAAAAGGGAUGCUACAACUUGCAACCUAUGAUAGCACUGGAAACAACCUAGAAAAUACUCUGGGUUCUUUGAGUAGCUUUAAUGUUCAUUGCAGUAUUGAUUUCAAAAUGCUAGCUUCUGCAAACUAAAUGAGUCUUUGCAAUCGCAUUUAAUAUGCAUUUUGUGUUUCUACAAACUUGAAUCUUGUGACAUUUUGGAUUCUGCAUCCUAUUGGAAAUGAUCAUCUUGAGGUCUCUGCUUGCAUGCUAGAUAGUUGAGCAAUUAAGAGCAGCACCAGUUGAUGUUAGUAUCCGAGUUUAUGCAGGGUCAGUGAUCCUUAGGCCUCUUCUUAAAUCAUGGUCUAAAUCAGCUUCUUCAUUAGUAUGAAUAUUGAAAUUCGUCCUCAAAUCCCAUUCACUCAUUCAAACUUGGAAAUUACUUAAGCUAUUUGCUAGCAACCUAGUAUCUUUACCUGCUGAAGCUUGUGAAAAAUUCAAGGUUCAUUUAGCAAUCCCUGUUGUAAAUGCUUUCGCUACCUCUUCGUAGUUGCUUUAUUACUAAAUUUGCAAGCAGUCUUUGUUUUCCUAAAUUUGCUAAUGUGAUAGGGAAUAUAGAGGUAAUGAUGGAGUUCUAACUCUGACGCUAUGUCCUUUAUUUUUUUUCUUUGUGUCCUGUGGAUUAGAUUUUGUGCGGCAUAAGUUAUCCUCUGUGACAUGUGAUAAGUGUGGAGAAAGAGUAAUGCAAUAGGUAGUUGAAAUUUUUCCUUGCAUCAUUAUUCAUGUGUGUGUGGAUAACAAAAUAGCACAGAACAUUGGAGUGAAUUCUCACCAUUCAAUCAAACUAUCUUCCUAGUAAAGUGGCCUUUUUACUCAUCCUUUCUUAGUCACUUUGAAUUGUCUCUGUAUGCUCAGUACAAAGCAGGUACCUUGUUGCUUGAAUACCUGAGAAAUAAUAUGAUAGAGGUGAUUUGGAUUUUUACUUUAACUCGAGUAGUUCAAGCUUUAAUCCUAAAGAUUUCUCUACGCAUUUGGAUCGUAGGAAGUGAGGCAGAGGUUUUUGUACUUUUCUGCAUGGAUUGCUCACUUCAUAGCUUAGUGAAUCAGCAAGGAUCUUCUUGAGACAUCUGCCUUUUCUUGCAUCAGGCUGUUGCAGUUGUUGAGCUGAGCUGAGAUAUAUAUAAUUUAGGUAUCUCUGUAUUGGUAUGAUAUGCAUGCUCUCGGUGUGAAGUAUUGUUUCGGUCAACUUCAUUAUUGGUGUGUGGGGAACUGAUACAUUGUGUUUUCCCUUCCAGAACCCAGGAAAUAUAAUUCAAUCAUUCUGUCCUAGUGAUGUGGUUGGAAAACGCCUUUGCCUUUUUGAUACGUUGUGUUUUCUGCAGUGUUCCACUCGUAGUAGUAUCUUUGUUUGAUGCCUUCUUGCUCUCUACAUACCACUAUAUGCGACUUCCUAACAGCUUUUAACUUGUGUUGCUCAGAAGCAUGUGCUGAUUCCGAUUGUCUUUCAUCUUUAAUUUUUAUUUUUAUGGGAGUGGGUUAUACUUCCAACUCAGAUAUGAAACAGAGGUAUUGAGAAUCCAAUUCAAAUUUAGUUUAAUGAGAAGACUACUUCGAAAGUUACACAUAGAAGAAAGAUCGUUCAUGAUCCUUGGACAUUGUUUCCAAUACAGGGUACCCAUGUUGUAAUGUGGUAUCGUUGUAUAUGCCGAGCUUAGAAAAGAAACCACCAAGAUAGAGUUGUUGGCGGAACUGCUGACCAUUAAAUUAUGCGGGAACGGAUCCAGUAACGAGUCCUGAUUUGGCGCUUGGUUCGUAGAGCGGCAUAAUAACUCUUUCCAAUGAUGCAGCAGCAUAUUACAGCAGCGACCAAAAUGUCGGGUGGACUAUUUCGGUACCACCACAAGGAUACCAGAAGCAAAUGCUACCACCAUUGCUGCAAUGGAAUAGCGAAUGAAAACUGGAGGUGUGGCUAGAAUGAUUAGUGACAGAGUGGGCACCAUAAAAUGAUUAAACACCCACUAAGAGAGAUGAAAGGAAGGAGAUGGUAUCAAAUAACACAAACACUACGAAAAAUAUCCAUCGGUGUAAAAUCACCAUGCCAUUGCUAUUAAUUAGAUAGCAACCUAUGGUGUUUGGGAUCGAUUCCUGAGGUGCUUUUGGAGCAGUUUCUGCUUUUGGGCCAAGAACAUGGUGUUUGGUAAAAUCUCUAAAAGCUGUUUUUGAGUGAAAUUGCUUCUCCGUAAAGCUGAAUUUAGGAAGCUACAAUUUGUAGCUUUUGAAGACCUGCUUUGGGAAAACACGGAGCAUGAACAGUAGAGUUUAAUGAAAAUUUGGAGAACUGCCAAUUCUGUCCUCCUCCUUUUCUGAAAAUUACAUCGAAACAGCAAACCCAUCGCGGUAGACGUCUCAUUCCACACCUCCUCCUUCCUCUUUGCCGUCACUGCCAUUCCACAUCUCCUCCUUCCUCUUCUUUAGUGUCUGGUUCUCCCUAGUCUUCUCUCAGAUCGCCUUCUUCUUCUGCUCGUCGCUGGUGACCUCAUUCAAUUGGUGGAUUGUCGCCACCUUCCUCGGCGCCGAUUCCGCCUUCCUGCUACGCUAUUCCUUUUGUCCUCCAUGUUCUCAAUUGUGUUCCUCUGAUUAGCCGCUCGCUGAGAACUGCACAACCGUUGUUUUACCCAUAUCUGAGGACUCUUGGCAACAUCAGCUCCUCUGGUGGAACUGAUUUGAGGGUAAUUCCUUUUAUGCUCGGAUUUAUUCUUCGCCAAAUUUUUGUUCUUCGUCCUCAGUUUUUAUUAUGAAUUUGGAUGAUGGGUUUUGUUGUUCCCCCGACAAAGAGGAGGUGAGAGUAAAAAAGAAAGAGAUAGAAGAGAACAGGAAAUAAGAGAAAGAAGAAUAAGAAGAAGGAGACGAAAAGCUCUCUGGGUUUUCUUUGAUUUGUUGGCAUUUAUGGGAAUCUGAUGUUGUUUUUGUCUCAAUUUUCUGAUUGAACUUCUUUCUAGGAUUUCUUAUGGUUCCUGUAUUUGUCUUCAGCUGACCAAGCCUGUUACUUAGCCUCCAUUGGUAUGGGGAGUUUGCGGAGCUACUGCCUCUGUACAGGAACUGCAGAAAAUAAAGGAAGAGUUGUUGGAGUUGAAAAGGAAGAGACUAAGGAACUUCACGAACAAAGAUGAUGAUAACAUUGUGCCGGUUACACAGUAAAAGUCUCACAUACAAGACAAUUGGCAUAGGAGUUCAGAGGAGGACAAGCUGGUAUUUUGCAGAGCUAAAAUAACCAGAUUUGUGCCUGAAGAUGCAUGGUUCUAUGCAGCCGUCCUUCAAAGCAAAUGAAGAAAAAGCCAGAGUCAGCUACUAAUCUGCCCAGAUCAUGAAAUGCAGCAACCACUUUACAUGUAAAACGCAAUCCAAAAUUUAGAUUAGCGCCUUCAAUUUUAAAACUAUCAUGAAAGAUGGAAUAUGAUAGCCUAAGCAAACUGUGUAACAUUGUUCCUUUCCAGUUUGUUUCAACAUCUAUAUCAAUAAAUAAGCAAAACUGUAUUUCCAGUCCGUUUGCUUUUUAAAGUUAUGUUUUACGAUACCAUGAGGGAAUCCUGUAACUACAUAGACCAUGAAUUUUGAUACCUCAGAGUACAAUUCAUUGAGCUCUUUUAGGUCUCAAUGGUUUAGUUGC